GAUGAACGCUGGCGGCGUGCUUAACACAUGCAAGUCGAACGGAAAGGCUCCUGCUUGCAGGGGUACUCGAGUGGCGAACGGGUGAGUAACACGUGGGUGAUCUGCCCUGCACUUCGGGAUAAGCCUGGGAAACUGGGUCUAAUACCGGAUAGGACGAUUGUUUGGAUGCCAUUGUGGAAAGUUUUUCGGUGUGGGAUGAGCUCGCGGCCUAUCAGCUUGUUGGUGGGGUAAUGGCCUACCAAGGCGUCGACGGGUAGCCGGCCUGAGAGGGUGUACGGCCACAUUGGGACUGAGAUACGGCGCAGACUCCUACGGGAGGCAGCAGUGGGGAAUAUUGCACAAUGGGCGCAAGCCUGAUGCAGCGACGCCGCGUGGGGGAUGACGGCCUUCGGGUUGUAAACUCCUUUCGCUAGGGACGAAGCGCAAGUGACGGUACCUGGAGAAGAAGCACCGGCUAACUACGUG
rnacentral:rRNA from 1 species